UGGAAAAUGUGUUCAUGACGG
rnacentral:miRNA from 1 species